ensembl:lncRNA
ACUGAAUGCCCUGGCUCAGGACUGGGGGCUGCAGGAAGUAUCUGUGAGAGGUGAAAACACACGCUGCCUGUGUGAAGGGCAAGGCCUUGUCUGUGUGGCUGCUCCUUAGUUAAAAGCCCAUUGACAAGUACGGGCCCUGCCCACACCUAUUCCCACUCUGUUGCCAGAAUCCACACAGUUGCUCCUUAUGCACCAAUGUUGGUUGGGACUUUUCCAUUGACAAGGCCAGUGAAACCCUCACUCCUGGAGAAAGCACAUAGUCUCUACAUCUGGUCACUGGAAAACAGUUUUUUCAGAGAGAGACCGUGCAGGUUUUGGUUUUCUACAUGCAUGCUUUAGAAUAGUCAGGCUUUACAUACAAAAGGAGGGUCCCAGACCACAGAGCCCUCCCUCCCAUCUCUCCACAAUUCCCAACAGAAUCACCUUCCAACAGGAAGAGGCCUCUCCUCCUCCUGAAGGUGAUCUGGCUGUGAGCAAGGGUGCUCUGUUUCCCCAAGUGUUCCAGUGGAUUCUUCUGGCCCCAGGGCAUCCUGCCUCGCAUGGCAUCUUGGCGCCUUUGAGCUGUAGACCCCAUGACCCACUCUCCACUUCCCCAUGUGGCUCACAUGAGGGAUAUUUGGGGACCCAGCAGUCAGAGCUGUGGCUGAGCCACUGUGGCUGGCUCCUGGGGUCCCUUCGUGCAUAAGACUGGGCCUUCAGUUCACAGCACUGACACCCUGGCAGGGUGCCUCUGCCUGUGUCUCCAUCCAGCUAGGAGCAGUUGCUGGUGUCUGAACACAAAGAGAGCUUUGAUUGCCCAGAGAGGAAAGAGGCUGCUGGCCAGCUGGGGCCAGGCCCAGGGCAGAUGCAGGAUCGCCAAAGUGAGGGCCAAGCAGGGUGGAGAGGAAGGCUGGCAAGGUUUCCCCAGAGUGUUUGGAUCUUAUUGGGGCACAGCCGGAACAUCCUUAUAAACAACCCAAACCCAACUUCUGGGGCUGUCCACACACAGCUUGAGCCCCACACAACAUAUUUCUGGCAUGGUAGGCUGAGUGCCACCAUUUUUGUUCAUUCUCUUUGACAGGCAGAGCAGGGGCGAUGGGUCAGAAAGUUGUAAAUAAUAAAUAUAUUUAUGCCGCUAUUUAUUUUUUCAAUACCUGUGGCCUCUUGCACUGUGAAUGCUCUGUGAUAAUGAGAUUCUUAGUUUAAUAAAACUGUCAUCAAAUUUGAAUGAAUUGAUAUUACUGGUUCCUAAACACUGGCAUGAGUUUACUUUUAUUGUGAAGAAAAAAAUCUAGAGUAAAUAUGAACUAAACUUUCCUAAGAAACCUAGCAGUCAGUAUUGUAACGCAAUAUAUCAAAAAUCUGUACACUGUCAAUAAAAUAAAGGAGCACAAUUCAUCUUGCCCCAUGUAGAGCUUCCAUUCAGAUUUUCAGAGACACGUACAUAUUUGUAUUUUUUGAAAGAAUUACACUGGAAUAACAGCCAUUGGAAACCAUUUCUAUUUGCAUAUUGAGAAAAAAUAAACUUCAAAAAGGAUGCGAGGUUGGAGCUUUUGAUUAUAACGGUUGGAAAUGAAUAAAGCAAAGAAGAACUUG